rnacentral:rRNA from 1 species
CCUACGGGUGGCAGCAGUGGGGAAUAUUGGACAAUGGGCGAAAGCCUGAUCCAGCCAUGCCGCGUGUGUGAAGAAGGCCUUCGGGUUGUAAAGCACUUUCAGUGGGGAAGAAAGCCUUGGGGCUAAUACCCUCGAGGAAGGACAUCACCCACAGAAGAAGCACCGGCUAACUCCGUGCCAGCAGCCGCGGUAAUACGGAGGGUGCGAGCGUUAAUCGGAAUUACUGGGCGUAAAGCGCGCGUAGGCGGUCUGAUAAGCCGGUUGUGAAAGCCCCGGGCUCAACCUGGGAACGGCAUCCGGAACUGUCAGGCUAGAGUGCAGGAGAGGAAGGUAGAAUUCCCGGUGUAGCGGUGAAAUGCGUAGAGAUCGGGAGGAAUACCAGAGGCGAAGGCGGCCUUCUGGACUGACACUGACGCUGAGGUGCGAAAGCGUGGGUAGCAAACAGGAUUAGAUACCCUUGUAGUC